rnacentral:rRNA from 1 species
CAGGCUUAACACAUGCAAGUCGAGGGGCAGCAUGGUCUUAGCUUGCUAAGGCCGAUGGCGACCGGCGCACGGGUGAGUAACACGUAUCCAACCUGCCGUCUACUCUUGGACAGCCUUCUGAAAGGAAGAUUAAUACAAGAUGGCAUCAUGAGUCCGCAUGUUCACAUGAUUAAAGGUAUUCCGGUAGACGAUGGGGAUGCGUUCCAUUAGAUAGUAGGCGGGGUAACGGCCCACCUAGUCUUCGAUGGAUAGGGGUUCUGAGAGGAAGGUCCCCCACAUUGGAACUGAGACACGGUCCAAACUCCUACGGGAGGCAGCAGUGAGGAAUAUUGGUCAAUGGGCGAGAGCCUGAACCAGCCAAGUAGCGUGAAGGAUGACUGCCCUAUGGGUUGUAAACUUCUUUUAUAAAGGAAUAAAGUCGGGUAUGGAUACCCGUUUGCAUGUACUUUAUGAAUAAGGAUCGGCUAACUCCGUGCCAGCAGCCGCGGUAAUACGGAGGAUCCGAGCGUUAUCCGGAUUUAUUGGGUUUAAAGGGAGCGUAGAUGGAUGUUUAAGUCAGUUGUGAAAGUUUGCGGCCCAACCGUAAAAUUGCAGUUGAUACUGGAUAUCUUGAGUGCAGUUGAGGCAGGCGGAAUUCGUGGUGUAGCGGUGAAAUGCUUAGAUAUCACGAAGAACUCCGAUUGCGAAGGCAGCCUGCUAAGCUGCAACUGACAUUGAGGCUCGAAAGUGUGGGUAUCAAACAGGAUUAGAUACCCUGGUAGUCCACACGGUAAACGAUGAAUACUCGCUGUUUGCGAUAUACUGCAAGCGACCAAGCGAAAGCGUUAAGUAUUCCACCUGGGGAGUACGCCGGCAACGGUGAAACUCAAAGGAAUUGACGGGGGCCCGCACAAGCGGAGGAACAUGUGGUUUAAUUCGAUGAUACGCGAGGAACCUUACCCGGGCUUAAAUUGCAGAUGAAUUACGGUGAAAGCCGUAAGCCGCAAGGCAUCUGUGAAGGUGCUGCAUGGUUGUCGUCAGCUCGUGCCGUGAGGUGUCGGCUUAAGUGCCAUAACGAGCGCAACCCUUGUUGUCAGUUACUAACAGGUUCCGCUGAGGACUCUGACAAGACUGCCAUCGUAAGAUGUGAGGAAGGUGGGGAUGACGUCAAAUCAGCACGGCCCUUACGUCCGGGGCUACACACGUGUUACAAUGGGGGGUACAGAGGGCCGCUACCACGCGAGUGGAUGCCAAUCCCCAAAACCUCUCUCAGUUCGGACUGGAGUCUGCAACCCGACUCCACGAAGCUGGAUUCGCUAGUAAUCGCGCAUCAGCCACGGCGCGGUGAAUACGUUCCCGGGCCUUGUACACACCGCCCGUCAAGCCAUGGGAGCCGGGGGUACCUGAAGUGCGUAACCGCGAGGAGCGCCCUAGGGUAAAACUGGUGACUGG